GAUGAAGAACGUAGUGAAAUGCGAUAAGUAAUGUGAAUUGCAGAAUUCAGUGAAUCAUCGAAUCUUUGAACGCACAUUGCGCCCGCCAGUAUUCUGGCGGGCAUGCCUGUUCGAGCGUCAUUUCAACCAUCAAGCCCCAGGCUUGUGUUGGGGACCUGCGGCUGCCGCAGGCCCUGAAAACUAGUGGCGGGCUCGCUGUCACACCGGGCGUAGUAGAUUUUAUCUCGCUCAGGGCGUGCUGCGGGUUCCGGCCGUUAAAAAGCCUUUUUUACCCAAGGUUGACCUCGGAUCAGGUAGGAAGACCCGCUGAACUUAAGCAUAUCAAUAAGCGGAGGA
rnacentral:misc_RNA from 1 species